UUAGCGGCGGACGGGUGAGUAACACGUGGAUAACCUACCUAUAAGACUGGGAUAACUUCGGGAAACCGGAGCUAAUACCGGAUAAUAUUUUGAACCGCAUGGUUCAAAAGUGAAAGACGGUCUUGCUGUCACUUAUAGAUGGAUCCGCGCUGCAUUAGCUAGUUGGUAAGGUAACGGCUUACCAAGGCAACGAUGCAUAGCCGACCUGAGAGGGUGAUCGGCCACACUGGAACUGAGACACGGUCCAGACUCCUACGGGAGGCAGCAGUAGGGAAUCUUCCGCAAUGGGCGAAAGCCUGACGGAGCAACGCCGCGUGAGUGAUGAAGGUCUUCGGAUCGUAAAACUCUGUUAUUAGGGAAGAACAUAUGUGUAAGUAACUGUGCACAUCUUGACGGUACCUAAUCAGAAAGCCACGGCUAACUACGUGCCAGCAGCCGCGGUAAUACGUAGGUGGCAAGCGUUAUCCGGAAUUAUUGGGCGUAAAGCGCGCGUAGGCGGUUUUUUAAGUCUGAUGUGAAAGCCCACGGCUCAACCGUGGAGGGUCAUUGGAAACUGGAAAACUUGAGUGCAGAAGAGGAAAGUGGAAUUCCAUGUGUAGCGGUGAAAUGCGCAGAGAUAUGGAGGAACACCAGUGGCGAAGGCGACUUUCUGGUCUGUAACUGACGCUGAUGUGCGAAAGCGUGGGGAUCAAACAGGAUUAGAUACCCUGGUAGUCCACGCCGUAAACGAUGAGUGCUAAGUGUUAGGGGGUUUCCGCCCCUUAGUGCUGCAGCUAACGCAUUAAGCACUCCGCCUGGGGAGUACGACCGCAAGGUUGAAACUCAAAGGAAUUGACGGGGACCCGCACAAGCGGUGGAGCAUGUGGUUUAAUUCGAAGCAACGCGAAGAACCUUACCAAAUCUUGACAUCCUUUGACAACUCUAGAGAUAGAGCC
rnacentral:rRNA from 1 species